rnacentral:rRNA from 1 species
CCUACGGGAGGCAGCAGUGAGGAAUAUUGGUCAAUGGGCGUAAGCCUGAACCAGCCAAGUCGCGUGAGGGAUGAAGGUUCUAUGGAUUGUAAACCUCUUUUAUAAGGGAAUAAAGUGCGGGACGUGUCCCGUUUUGUAUGUACCUUAUGAAUAAGGAUCGGCUAACUCCGUGCCAGCAGCCGCGGUAAUACGGAGGAUCCGAGCGUUAUCCGGAUUUAUUGGGUUUAAAGGGUGCGUAGGCGGCCUUUUAAGUCAGCGGUGAAAGUCUGUGGCUCAACCAUAGAAUUGCCGUUGAUACUGGGAGGCUUGAGUAUGUUUGAGGCAGGCGGAAUGCGUGGUGUAGCGGUGAAAUGCUUAGAUAUCACGCAGAACCCCGAUUGCGAAGGCAGCCUGCCAAGCCAUGACUGACGCUGAUGCACGAAAGCGUGGGGAUCAAACAGGAUUAGAUACCCUUGUAGUC